AGCCGUGAUGAGCAUUGCUUCCUUCUGACACCUCUUGUAUGAGAAGGCGCCUCUCUUUCUUUGAAGGAAGAGAUGCCCUUCACUGAGCAGAGUACAGCAACCCUCUGAGUG
rnacentral:snoRNA from 1 species